rnacentral:rRNA from 1 species
GACGUAGGGCGCGAGCGUUGUCCGGAUUUAUUGGGCGUAAAGAGCUCGUAGGCGGCUUGUCGCGUCGACUGUGAAAUCCCGCGGCUCAACUGCGGGUCUGCAGUCGAUACGGGCAGGCUAGAGUUCGGUAGGGGAGACUGGAAUUCCUGGUGUAGCGGUGAAAUGCGCAGAUAUCAGGAGGAACACCGGUGGCGAAGGCGGGUCUCUGGGCCGAUACUGACGCUGAGGUGCGAAAGCGUGGGGAGCAAACAGG